GCUCCCAUGGCGUAGUGGUCACUGCGCUCGCCUUGCACGUGGGAGCCCCGGGUUUGAUUCCCGGCAGGGUCA
rfam:Asian citrus Psyllid, Diaphorina citri - Florida Strain, whole genome shotgun sequence.